rnacentral:lncRNA from 1 species
CUGCUGCCUCCAUCCGGUUACAGUGUACUAGAAGUAUUGGGUAGUGGCCGGAGCGGCGGCCUAGGCGCGAUGCGUCCUGCAUAGAAGGUCG